GAUGAAGAACGUAGCGAAAUGCGAUAAGUAAUGUGAAUUGCAGAAUUCAGUGAAUCAUCGAAUCUUUGAACGCACAUUGCGCCCCCUGGUAUUCCGGGGGGCAUGCCUGUCCGAGCGUCAUUAUAACCACUCAAGCUCUCGCUUGGUAUUGGGGUUCGCGGUUUCGCGGCCCCUAAAAUCAGUGGCGGUGCCUGUCGGCUCUACGCGUAGUAAUACUUCUCGCGAUUGAGUUCGAUAGGUCUACUUGCCAGUAACCCCCAAUUUUUACAGGUUGACCUCGGAUCAGGUAGGGAUACCCGCUGAACUUAAGCAUAUCAAUAAGCGGAGGA
rnacentral:misc_RNA from 1 species